rnacentral:rRNA from 1 species
UACAGAGGUGGCAAGCAUUGUUCGGAUUUAUUGGGCGUAAAGGGUUCGUAGGCGGUUCGAAAAGUCAGAUGUGAAAUCCCACAGCUCAACUGUGGAACUGCAUUUGAAACUUUCGAACUAGAGUAUGAGAGGGGUAAAGGGAAUUCCCGGUGUAAGGGUGAAAUCUGCAGAGAUCGGGAGGAACACCAGUCGCGAAGGCGCUUUACUGGCUCAUUACUGACGCUCAGGAACGAAAGCUAGGGUAGCAAACGGG